UCAUGUUUGUGUGUGGAUAGUGUUCAGCACCAAGGACAGGUCAUGUUUGUGUGUGGAUAGUGUUCAGCACCAGGGACAGGUCAUGUUUGUGU
rnacentral:pre_miRNA from 1 species